rnacentral:rRNA from 1 species
UGGGGAAUCUUGCACAAUGGGGGAAACCCUGAUGCAGCGACGCCGCGUGAGCGAAGAAGCCUUUCGGGGUGUAAAGCUCUUACGCCAGGGACGAUAAUGACGGUACCUGGAGAAGCAGCUGCGGCUAACUACGUGCCAGCAGCCGCGGUAAUACGUAGGCAGCAAGCGUUGUUCGGAAUUACUGGGCGUAAAGGGUGCGUAGGCGGCGCCUUAAGUUUGGUGUGAAAUCUCCCGGCUCAACCGGGAGGGUGCACUGAAAACUGGGGCGCUCGAGUGUGGGAGAGGAAAGCGGGAUUCCUGGUGUAGCGGUGAAAUGCGUAGAGAUCAGGAGGAACACCCGCGGUGUAGACGGCUUUCUGGACCAUGACUGACGCUGAGGCACGAAAGCGUGGGGAGCAAACA